AUAAUAGAAAUUGAAUUUUUGACUUAUAGUUUAAGCCUUAUUUUUCGAUAUUCAUGUGGUAUGUGAUCUAUAGAUUGAUAUAAUUGUGCAAAAUUUGACGUUCGGACCUAAGGUCUAUAUCAAAAUAUUUGAUGAAAUGUGAUAUUUGUAAAAAGAUAAGUGCCUAAUAGUUAAAUUCAAUUGCAAAUUGAAAAUAAUAACUUAUAAAGGGAGACCAACAGACAAAGACAAGAUUAGCGUAUGUAUUGAUUAAGAAACAUUCCAACAAAUUAAAAGUGUUGAGCUGAAGAAUGAGGAAAAAUUGAAGGGAAAUCGGUGUGGAUACGUCACAUUCUGAUAAUCAGACUAUAAAAUUGGAAAGUACUUGUGGCCAACUCGCAUCGUCCGGUGAGAUACCACCGCAUCGGAUCUAGAAGACUUAUUAUAUACUGCAAUUCUAUUCUAAACUAAUUAAUCAGAUAGCUAGCAAAGUAGCUUGUUAUUACUACUUCGUACCUGGAACUUAACUGUGAGAAGAAAUGAUCAUAGAUUUUUCUAUAUAGAGGUGGUUUUAUAAAAAGAAUGGAUUGCAGGCAACUUACUUCUCCACAAAGUUUCACACAUCUCAAUUUCAACACGGUUACUUUAUAAGUUAAGGUAUAAAAUACUAUUUAAUAAAUAGCUCGUCAAUUGUUCAGUUAUUUCAUAAACAAAAAAAGUUAUAUUAGUGUAUUGAACAGCCAAGCAAAAUAUAUUGUUCAAAAUAUCACAGUAACAAAUUGAAUACAACCAACAAUAUGCACUUAAGACGACCCAAUAUUGGGAAUUGAUUUCCCUAUAAACGUGCCUUGAAUUUAACAAAUAAUCAAUACACAACAAAAUAAUUCAAAACGGAUCCUUGAGACAAUAAUUCUUUUCCAUCCCUUUAAUUUUACUCUAUGAUAUGACACUAUAAUUUGUUCAUAUUUUAUAUUCUCAUAAUUACACUGCCAAGCAAAAAAUUCAGGGCACUCGAUCAUUUGAAAUUUAAAAUCAAUUUCUGUGGUAUUCGCAGAUUUUAUUAUAGGCUACAUUAAUUGACGUUGAAGAUCUACUAUAGGUAUUUUGAAAUUUAUAGAAAAGAACUAUAAAUGUUGCUCAAAUUUAAGCAUCUUUACGAUUCGUUUAUUUUUUAUGUACAGGAACCAUCUCUAAAACUUUCCUUUUUCGAAUGGUUGUCUUGAGCUCUUGGGUUGAUUUUUAUUUGGAUUUCAUUUUAUCUUAUCGUUUCGCUAUCCUACUUUUUUUUAAAUGUCAAAAAAUAAUGUCAUAAUGUGACAGAGGAAAGUAAUAUUUUACCUACCUUACAUACUAAACGAUACAUAAGUUUGGAAAUUUAAUUGAUUAAAUUAUAAUAAGUUUUACUCAAGUUUUUCAUGUUUUGUUUAUCAUUAACAGAUAAUUUAUUUUGUUUUUUAAAGAUCAUUUCUUUGAUUGUUAAUAUUUGAUCUUGAGUUAAUAUAUUGGUGUUUUUGAAAUCAAAUACAUGCUUUUCAUUUCGUUCAUGUUUAUGUAAAGCGAUUGAUGCAUUUUUAGUAUAUUUGUGACCAUUCAUCCUCUUUUCUAGAUAUUGCAUAGUCAUUCCUAUAUAAUUUCUUGGACAAUUUAAACAUGGUAUUAAGUAAAUAACAUUCGAAGCAGUGUAUCCUACAAACCAAAUUAUUAAAACUAUAAAAAAACGUUUAUAUAAGUUUCAUAACAAUAAUAACUCAAAUCCAUCAAAAAAAAAAA